rnacentral:rRNA from 1 species
CCUACGGGUGGCUGCAGUAGGGAAUUUUCCGCAAUGGGCGAAAGCCUGACGGAGCAAUACCGCGUGAGGGAUGAAUGCCUAUGGGUUGUAAACCUCUUUUUUCAGGGAGGAACACAAUGACGUGUACCUGAAGAAUAAGCAUCGGCUAACUCCGUGCCAGCAGCCGCGGUAAGACGGAGGAUGCAAGUGUUAUCCGGAAUCACUGGGCGUAAAGCGUCUGUAGGUGGUUUAAUAAGUCAACUGUUAAAUCUUGAGGCUCAACCUCAAAAUCGCAGUCGAAACUAUUAGACUAGAGUAUAGUAGGGGUAAAGGGAAUUUCCAGUGGAGCGGUGAAAUGCGUAGAUAUUGGAAAGAACACCGAUGGCGAAGGCACUUUACUGGGCUAUUACUGACACUCAGAGACGAAAGCUAGGGUAGCAAAUGGGAUUAGAUACCCCAGUAGUC